CCUACGGGUGGCAGCAGUGGGGAAUAUUGCACAAUGGGGGAAACCCUGAUGCAGCGACGCCGCGUGAGUGAAGAAGUAUUUCGGUACGUAAAGCUCUAUCAGCAGGGAAGAAAAUGACGGUACCUGACUAAGAAACCCCGGCUAACUAAGUGCCAGCAGCCGCGGUAAUACGUAGGGGGCAAGCGUUAUCCGGAUUUACUGGGUGUAAAGGGAGCGUAGACGGCAGCGCAAGUCUGGAGUGAAAUCCCAUGGCUUAACCAUGGAACUGCGUUGGAAACUGUGCAGCUAGAGUGCAGGAGAGGUAAGCGGAAUUCCUAGUGUAGCGGUGAAAUGCGUAGAUAUUAGGAGGAACACCAGUGGCGAAGGCGGCUUACUGGACUGUAACUGACGUUGAGGCUCGAAAGCGUGGGGAGCAAACAGGAUUAGAUACCCGGGUAGUC
rnacentral:rRNA from 1 species